GCCCCCGUGGGCAAAUUGGCAAAGUCGCUGCACUCAGACUGCAGAGUUUUCCGGGUUCGAGUCCCGGCGGGGGUA
rnacentral:tRNA from 1 species